rnacentral:lncRNA from 1 species
AAGAUGUAGUUUCUCCCUGUCUCUGGCCCUCACUCCAGAACAGUCGGUGACGGUAAUGCACCAUAACGUUGGAUGCCAUCCACCAAUAAUCCCCACCGAAGAAGCAUUCCUCCUGUGUUCCACAGUGCGUGUUGUAGAACACUGGCGUUACUAGCCUUAUCAAGUUCUGCUGAGCAAGUUUGCCGCACAGCAGGACACCACACAUCCAAGGGCCACCAUGAUGACAUCCCCACACCACCAACUCGGCUUCCAAAUCUCAGAUCAGGCCUCAAAGACUUCGACCCAGGCCCCCAAACCAGCUCCGGACCUGGCUUCUCCCUCAGCCUCAGAUUACGACUUGACAUUGGACACAGCCUAAGUCAAACAGUAGCUACCCCCAACAGCUCAGCAGUCGCUUCUUCUUGCUCUCCUGGGGUCUACAUGCUGUACUACCUCAACUAUAUU